rnacentral:rRNA from 1 species
UCUUACGGACCACACGGCCUGAGUUACGCCUAAUCUCGUCUGAUCUCGGAAGCUAAGCAGGGUCAGGACUGGUUAGUACUUGGAUGGGAGACCGCCUGGGAAUACCUGGUGCUGUAAGCU